ACACUUGUCUAGCAGGGGAGAUACCAUGAUUAUAAAAGUGGUUUUUUUGAGGUGAAGCUCAUGUAUUGGACUCUGAAUGUGCUGUCCCCUUUGAUUUCUUCAAAUAUGAAGAACUUGACUACAUAAUGUGUGGAAAUAUAUGUUCUUCCCCCAAAA
rnacentral:snRNA from 1 species